AGUGAACGCUGGCGGUAGGCCUAACACAUGCAAGUCGAACGGCAGCACAGUAAGAGCUUGCUCUUACGGGUGGCGAGUGGCGGACGGGUGAGGAAUACAUCGGAAUCUACUUUUUCGUGGGGGAUAACGUAGGGAAACUUACGCUAAUACCGCAUAUGACCUACGGGUGAAAGCAGGGGAUCUUCGGACCUUGCGCGAUUGAAUGAGCCGAUGUCGGAUUAGCUAGUUGGCGGGGUAAAGGCCCACCAAGGCGACGAUCCGUAGCUGGUCUGAGAGGAUGAUCAGCCACACUGGAACUGAGACACGGUCCAGACUCCUACGGGAGGCAGCAGUGGGGAAUAUUGGACAAUGGGCGCAAGCCUGAUCCAGCCAUACCGCGUGGGUGAAGAAGGCCUUCGGGUUGUAAAGCCCUUUUGUUGGGAAAGAAAAGCAGCAGGUUAAUACCCCGCUGUCCUGACGGUACCCAAAGAAUAAGCACCGGCUAACUUCGUG
rnacentral:rRNA from 1 species